AGGGGCUGAUCCUCAAAUUAGUCUAUUAAAGUUACUGAUGACAGUCCUCAUCUCAGAGCCUCCGUUUUGGGGACCACAGCUUGCAACUUUGGAGGUCCUGCCAAGAUGACUCAACUCAUGAAAACCUACCAGAAUGAAGGGAGAACAGCCCCGAGUUGAGUAAUGCCUCACUAAGAAUGAUAUUGAAAACUUGGAGAGGGAGUUUGGAGCCAGAGUGUUGGAUGUCUCCGUGGUUUGGGCAAUUACAGUGAAUGUCACCAUCCUCGUUGCUCCUGUACGUUCCGGGAAAAGUCAUUUGGUGCCGGAAAGAAGUCAUAGGACUGGAGGAAAGCAAGCCGUUAUAGAGGCAGCACUUACCCCGAACAGUGAGAGUGACCCCAUCGAGCUCCUUCCCCGGAAACUACGCUCAACACCUCAGCAACAAGCCGCCAGAGCUUUGGACCGGUCCUUACCAGUGGUGUGGAUGGGACACGACGCAUGCAGGCUCAUCGCAGUGGCACAGAGCCAUGUGCCGUCAGGUUCAGAGCCAGCAUGGGGCAGAGUCGCCACAUGGAAAUGGCAAGGCCCCAGAGCUGGAGCCACCUAUAGCCUGGGAUUGAGCCUCCGCGGAGGGCUAUCAGCACUGGAGUCACGGGUAAGUCUAGUUAUCAUUUCCCUGAGGCUCAUUCAGGGGUCUUGAAUUCUGCCUUGAGUUUUAAAAACUAAUUGUUUUCCUCUCCUCCCUUUUCCUGUCGGGCAAAAGUGGGUGACUAUAGAGCCACUCAUUGACUGUUUCUGACAAGGGCCUGUCGCUGUAGCUGCACAACCCAACUAAAUCUAGAAUUGAAUUUGUAGAGUCUCAAUUUCCAGCGGAUUCUUCUUCCAUGGAGCAUUUCCCCCUAUCUGCUACCAGUAAACAGCCCCCCC